rnacentral:rRNA from 1 species
AGUGAACGCUGGCGGUAGGCCUAACACAUGCAAGUCGAACGGCAGCACAGGAGAGCUUGCUCUCUGGGUGGCGAGUGGCGGACGGGUGAGGAAUACAUCGGAAUCUACCUUUUCGUGGGGGAUAACGUAGGGAAACUUACGCUAAUACCGCAUACGACCUACGGGUGAAAGUGGGGGACCGCAAGGCCUCACGCGAUUAGAUGAGCCGAUGUCCGAUUAGCUAGUUGGCGGGGUAAUGGCCCACCAAGGCGACGAUCGGUAGCUGGUCUGAGAGGAUGAGCAGCCACACUGGAACUGAGACACGGUCCAGACGCCUACGGGAGGCAGCAGUGGGGAAUAUUGGACAAUGGGCGCAAGCCUGAUCCAGCCAUACCGCGUGGGUGAAGAAGGCCUUCGGGUUGUAAAGCCCUUUUGUUGGGAAAGAAAUCCUGUCGAUUAAUACUCGGUGGGGAUGACGGUACCCAAAGAAUAAGCACCGGCUAACUUCGUGCCAGCCGCCGCAGUAAGAC